rnacentral:rRNA from 1 species
GGAGGUAGUGACAAUAAAUCACAAUGCGGGACUGUUAGUCUUGCAAUUGGAUUGAGAACAACGUACAACUCUUAUCGAUAAGCCAUUGGAGGGCAAGUCUGGUGCCAGCAGCCGCGGUAAUUCCAGCUCCAAUAGCGUAUAUUAACGUUGUUGCAGUUAAAAAGCUCGUAGUUGAAGUGAGGGAGUGUGUGGGUAUGAGAGCUAGUCUCAAGUACUCACAACCUCCCCCCUCCAAUCGGUGUAGUGGGGUAUUCAGUUAUUCUACUACUCCUUUGGUCGUUUACUGUGAGAAAAUUAGAGUGUUCAAAGCGGGCGUUUGUUUGAAUAGAUUAGCAUGGAAUAAUGAUUGAAGGCUUUCGUGUUCGAUUUGAUUGGUUUGUUCAUGGAAGCAAGGUUAAAAGGAACAGUUGGGGGUAUUCAUAUUCACUAGUUAGAGGUGAAAUUCUCGGAUUUAUGGAAGAUGAACAAGUGCGAAAGCA